UACGUAGGGCGCAAGCGUUGUCCGGAAUUAUUGGGCGUAAAGAGCUCGUAGGUGGUUUGUUACGUCUGCUGUGAAAACCUAGGGCUUAACCCUGGGCCUGCAGUGGAUACGGGCAGACUAGAGGUAGGUAGGGGAGAAUGGAAUUCCUGGUGUAGCGGUGAAAUGCGCAGAUAUCAGGAGGAACACCGAUGGCGAAGGCAGGUCUCUGGGCAUUAACUGACGCUGAGGAGCGAAAGCGUGGGGAGCGAACAGG
rnacentral:rRNA from 1 species